AAAAACCAAACAAAGAGUUUUUAAAUUAAACAAUAAAAAUGUAAAACAAAACAACAAACGAAAAACAUGGAAUCCGGCGACAAAUCAAUUGACUAAUUCCUUACGACCGGCAAAAAAAUCUGCUUUGGCGUAAGUUUUGGAAGUGUUUUAUGUUUGGAUAAGGAAUACAUAUAAAUUGCAUAAUUCAGGAGUUAAUAACGCAUCACAUCCGGAAAAUAAUCAUUUGUAAUGUAAUUAGUAAUUAGGAUUUUUGGCUGAAUACUUAUAAUUAUUCUUGAUGGA